GAAACAUCAGGAUCAUCAGGUCUACAGUGAAGUCAACAUGAAGACUCUCAGCCUGACCGUGGGACUGCUGCUCGUGCUGUUCACCAUUUACCACAGUGAUGCCUCUAAGGCAGUGAAUUCACCCGACUUUUGCUGUUUUCACUUCUUUGACAAACGGAUCCCAAAGGCGAACAUCGUCUCCAUCGUGAAAACUCACAGACAAUGCUCCACACCAGCAUUUGUGAUCAAGACACCCAGAGGGCUUUUCUGUGUGAAGGAGACCGCAGAGUGGGCAAAGGAACAAUUUUUGUCAAUGAAAAAAAAAGCUACAUGAAAAAUCUUUCGUGACUCCGAUGAAUGCUACAAGCCGAAAUGCAUCAGUCAC